ACAGUCGGGUAACUGAGCCUUCGGGUUAGGAAAGUCCAUGCUAGCACAGUCUGAGAUGAUUGUAGUGUUUGUGCCUGGCCAAACCAUAAGCCAGGGCGCCUAUUUUUAGGUGACGGCGAAGGAAGCCUACGUUCGAUUUUUCGAAUAGGGUGUACUUCAUAACGUGCCACAGAGACGAGUUUCAUAGAAAUAUGAAAAUGAAACGUUGGUAAACCCCUCAAGCUAGAAACCCAAAUCAUGGUAGGGGAGCCUUUCGAUGCGAAAUGAAGCGGACAAGGGGCAACUUAGUUGCAGAUAAAUAGUUACCACCUUGAAAUCAAGGUACAGAACAUGGCUUACAGAC
rnacentral:RNase_P_RNA from 1 species